GAUGAACGCUGCCAGAAUGCUUAACACAUGCAAGUCUUUGGCGAAGCUGUGCUUGCACAGCCUAGCCAAGGCGGACGGGUGAGUAACGCGUAAGGAACGUGCCCUGCAGUCAGGGAUAACAGACGGAAACGACUGAUAAGACCUGGUAAAGUCAGGCGGACUCAUGUCCAGCCUGAUGAAAAGAGAUGCUGCAGGAGAGCCUUGCGUCCUAUUAGCUUGUUGGUGGGGUAACGGCCCACCAAGGCGAUGAUAGGUAGCCGGCCUGAGAGGGUGGACGGCCACAAGGGGACUGAGAGACGGCCCUUACUCCUACGGGAGGCAGCAGUGGGGAAUAUUGGACAAUGGGGGCAACCCUGAUCCAGCAAUUCUGUGUGCACGUUGAAGGUUUUCGGAGUGUAAAGUGCUUUCAGCAGGGAAGAAAAAAAUGACGGUACCUGCAGAAGAAGCGACGGCUAAAUACGUG
rnacentral:rRNA from 1 species